AUCGGUGCCCCAUGAGGAGACCCCAGGGGGCUGCCUCACCCUCUCUAUGUCAUGUGAGAACACAGUGAGAAGCAGGGCAGCCUGCAACCUCGAAUAGUUUUCACCAGAACCUGACACGCAGCUUUUCUCAUCUCAGACUCCCAGCUUCCGGAACUGUGAGGAAUCAGUUUCUGUCAUCUGGAUCAGUGCUCAGUCUGUGGCCCUUAAUUAUUGGAGCCCAAUUAAAAGAGUACAUGGAGUCUUCUGGUAUUCAUGCAUCACACGCAGUGUUGCUCUGAGCCUUCAGGAGCAAUGAAGACUGAUAACCUCUUUUGGUAUAUAGUGGCUGUUCAAGAAAAGUUUUCAUAUGACAGAUAAGGCUUUACCUUUUGGAUUCUUUUCUGGACAUGCAGAAUAGAUGGAAUAAGAAGCCAUAUCACAUAGCUAUAUAAGCAUGUAAAUAAACAUGCCAGGCUGGAAAGUCUGAGUGGUUAUUUUGAGCUCAUUGGUGUGCAGUUCUCUUCCUACAGAGAUAAUUGACAUCUCAGAAAGGGAAGUUUAUGUACAACUGCAAUUUCCUAUCAAAAAUGGGAAUGUAGAAAAAAAUCUACACUGAGUUCUACCUCCAUGGCUUUCUGAACAACUGUACUAAGCAACUUCUUC
rnacentral:lncRNA from 1 species